rnacentral:piRNA from 1 species
UGCUUGUAACAUCUUCCAAGGAGCUCUGCUU